CCCCCCCAACACUGGCUGCAGCGGCGGUGGGUAAGGGGGCACCAAAGUCCCCUUCCCUUCCCAAUCCCCACCACACACCACCCCCUCCUCUGCCCUCCCCCUAGCAGUGCAGUCUCGGAGAUGGGGGACCUUCAGGCGCCCGCUGCAUUCUGGGAAGCCCCUGCCGCCAUUGCUAGCCCCCCAGCUGAGGGGAGAAAGAGAGGCCAGGUCAACAGGAAAGGGUCGGAGCUCCGCGGGGCCUCAGAAUUUGAACCAAUCCCAAGCAUGCGCACAGAGUAAACAGGAAAAGGUCGCCUCUGGGAGCUGGGAGGGAGAGACGUCCGCAGGAGCUUGGGAACUGUUCCAUGCUGCCAGGCCCGAUCAGCUUUCCCAGCAAUUCCUGUUGCUGUUUCUGCUGGUCUUUUGGUGAAUGUUUCUUUGGCCUUCACUGCUCUCUGUGGCAGAGAAUUCCAGGCCUGGCAUACGGGGCCCUGUGGGAGCAGGUCAGUCCUGGGCACGGUCAAGAGGUUUGGGAGACAGUGGGACUAGUCAAGAGCCUGACUUAACCCCCCCCGUGUGUGUGUGUGUGUGUGUUUCCAAAUGCCCCACCCCCAACGCGUUUGUUUUUGACAAACACUGAAAAGCAGUGACACAGCAUUGCCCAGAUCCCAUCUCCACAACAACACAGCUCCAGGCUGCGUAAGAUGAGACAAAGUACCGAACAACUGAGGGCUCUAUGAGAGAGCUCAGAGUUGGGUUUGGGGUUGGGGCGGGGGCGGAGAUAUUAGGGAGGGGGAGUUCAGAAGGUAGUUCUCGAACUUAGCUCCACAGGCAACUAAAGGCAGAGCCACCCCAUGGGUACUGCCAUGGAAACCAGGAAAUACCCGAGAGGCCGGAAUUGGAUGUU